UUGAUGUACAGAUUUGAGACACCCCCUGCUGAUUUUUGUUCAAUUGUAUAUAUAUAUAGGAACAUGAAAAUUAGUGCUAUGAGUCAUCUUCUUUCCAAUAUGCUUGCUUUAUGCAUGCUGUUACAGCAGUUGUUCCAGUAGUUGCUUUCCGAAUCCUUCUCAUCAGCUUCUCUUUUAAGUCUGCAAAACAAGAGAUCGACUUCAUCGGUUCAUCCCAACAAUAGGGUUGUCUGGGUUGUCUGUACUAUAGCUAAUAGGGUCAAGCAUGUCGAGAUUCCAACACCUCAUCGGGUGUUAGCUGGAGGGUAUCAAUCUUUUGCCAAGCCAUCAGGUGUAGGACAUGAUGCUCUAUACGGGGCUUCGGUGUAUACCAAUUUAUCUAUGCACAGGUGAGUUAUCGAACUCUUCGUGUUCCUGCUGGCACAAACAAUCUGGCAGAGGGUUCUCAUAGAAUGCUUCUUCGGACCGAAACCUUUCCACACCCCUCGUGCCAGGAAUGGGACCUUUCCUUUUGCGGGGAGAACCUUGCCUGUCGUCAAAAAAUGAUAGUUUAGGUAACACCAUAUUGAAGAAAACAGAAACAUAAUGUUCACACUGUCACCUACCGUCUCUUAUGAAUCUCUACAAUAAUAUUUGAUAACUUCUUCCCCUCUUUGAGAGAUCCUCGAUUGAUCUUAUCAAACAGCUGAACAAGAUCCUUUCUGCAUGCAAGGUAGACAAAAGGUUCCACAAACUCGAAAGCCUUUCAUGGAUAAGAANNNNNNNNNNNNNNNNNNNNNNNNNNNNNNNNNNNNNNNNNNNNNNNNNNNNNNNNNNNNNNNNNNNNNNNNNNNNNNNNNNNNNNNNNNNNNNNNNNNNNNNNNNNNNNNNNNNNNNNNNNNNNNNNNNNNNNNNNNNNNNNNNNNNNNNNNNNNNNNNNNNNNNNNNNNNNNNNNNNNNNNNNNNNNNNNNNNNNNNNNNNNNNNNNNNNNNNNNNNNNNNNNNNNNNNNNNNNNNNNNNNNNNNNNNNNNNNNNNNNNNNNNNNNNNNNNNNNNNNNNNNNNNNNNNNNNNNNNNNNNNNNNNNNNNNNNNNNNNNNNNNNNNNNNNNNNNNNNNNNNNNNNNNNNNNNNNNNNNNNNNNNNNNNNNNNNNNNNNNNNNNNNNNNNNNNNNNNNNNNNNNNNNNNNNNNNNNNNNNNNNNNNNNNNNNNNNNNNNNNNNNNNNNNNNNNNNNNNNNNNNNNNNNNNNNNNNNNNNNNNNNNNNNNNNNNNNNNNNNNNNNNNNNNNNNNNNNNNNNNNNNNNNNNNNNNNNNNNNNNNNNNNNNNNNNNNNNNNNNNNNNNNNNNNNNNNNNNNNNNNNNNNNNNNNNNNNNNNNNNNNNNNNNNNNNNNNNNNNNNNNNNNNNNNNNNNNNNNNNNNNNNNNAAGAGAAUAAGGAUGAUGAGUUCAAAUAUUCACUUCAUAACUGAUAUUGGAGGGAUCUAAAUAACUUUACAAAUGGAGAGGAAGUAGAGAAUUGAGACCUUUAUGUUUUACCACCUUUUUGUUUGGUCAGUCUAAUUCAGGCAAGUAGGAAGUACCACCAAAGUGCAGCUCUAAUGGUUAUUGACAAUCCAUAAAGACAAUUUAUAUUCAUCUGCGAUGACUAGUUUUGAAUAAAGCAGACUUACGUUACAGGUUCAACUUCCAUAAUUGCCAAUGUUAGCAGGAAAUUGAAAUAUUAUUGUUUGUGUGUUUGUGGAAGAAGGGUAGAAAGGAACAGUGUACUAGUACAAAAUAUGUCCACCAUAGGAAAAGGUUCCUGAACAUAAAAGAGUUUAAACCAAAGCAAGUCUCAUAAUAAGCUACCUCUUGAAUUUUGCGAAGCCAUGCAUUUCAUACCUUGCUUAAUAAAAUGGGAAAGCGAGAUUCUAGAUCAGACAAAUGAGAGCCGCCUCCAUAUAUCGCCCCUGCUGCAACAUAUAUUGGAGUAUUUGAUGGAUAUCCAAGAGAAGAAAGAAAGAUUCCAACCUCCUUUGGGGUCAAUGGACAAUACCCUUUGGCCCUUUGUUCUUGGGGAUCAAUUUCUUUAACCUUCCAAUAUGAAAUGUUCUCUCUGAAGAAAGAAGAAACAUGUUUAAUUAAUAAAACAAACAUUCGACUUCUACCCAGAAUCCAGAACUGGUGUUUUGUAAAAUACCUAAUUCUUGCCAAUUCAUCAGAUUCAACCGAAGACAAGCCAUACGUGCACCCACUAAAAGCAAGCAUGUCCUUUUCAUAACGCAAGUGCAAAGCAAUAUAUCGACCGUAAGACCUCAUUCUCUCCACCAAUAACUACAGAUUAAGAAGAAGAAAAAAUCAUGGUUGUAGGACAAAAAUUAAUUAGCAGCAAACAGAUAGUAUAAAAGACAUACUUUUCCUAGUGCCUCAAUCCGUGGAGCAAAUCUGAGAGCCUCAUAAAAAGUACGGCAACGAAGUUUUUGAAUGUCAGGAGGAAGGUUAUUGUUUGCAAGACGUGAAUCUGACUUGGCAGCUUUGAUAACCUGCCAAGAGAAGAUCUAGAUUAGAAAUAUUAUCACUAAUGACUAUUGUAUAUUAGUAGAAGGAUACAAGAUGAACUUCAAGAUACCAGCAAAUAUACCUGAUAUUUAUCCCACACGUGUGAUAUCUCAUCUUGAUAGUAAUCUAGUCCUGACCAGCUUCGAAAAUGUAUUACUGCUUUUGCAGCUGUCAUCAGUUCUUUUGGUAGUUUCUUUACAACUUCGACAUCAUCGGCCAAGGUGUGGAUGAAAUGUUCUUCAUCAAAAACGUCAGAGAAAUUGCUGGCACAUAAACAUGAAAAGCAUCAGAGGCACCUAAGCAUAUGCAAAUUCACCUAUAUGAACUGGAUUAAAUAGCAGUACUUUAUCACUGUAUUAGAAACAUAACAAAGACUAGUUUGGAACCUACCACAUGACGGUGACUUCUAGUUAUAUGCUUAUAAUAGCUUUAGGAACAUGUAUGAGAGACAGUUCUUAGCACAAACACAUGUGGAUGAUUUUUACCAACAACAUCUAUGUAAUUCAAGUGCUUCUACUACAUAAUAAAAAACAAACAAGAAAAAACUCGUACCUAGAAUCUUGCCAAAACGAUCUUUUAUCAAGUUGAGGAAUAACAAGUGUGGCAUUAAUCAAUCGUGCAACGGCUACCAUGUCACAUAUCUGCCAUUCAUAAUGACAAUACUCAUGAGGUUUCAACCAGUAAUAUAUUAAAUAAAUAAAAACCAUAAAGGAUAGACAUCAUAAGUUUUACACGAUGCAAAAUAGCUUUCUGUAAAUACAACAGGUAGCUGUGUAAGCUAUAGAUAAUAUUAUUAAUUAAGGAAUAGGAUACACAACCAAGAAUCUCAUUUGAUGCAUUUGAAAAAGAAAGAAGUGGCAAACAAAAUUAACUAAAGGUCCAUCAAUCAUGACCUGAUUGCCUGUAAAACAUCAGUAACAAAUUUAGCACAAAAACUUACUAUGUUCAAUCAAAUUAUUUAGAGGCCGUAAAAAAAAAACGUAGCCAACAUGGAGGUAAUGGUAUCGAUGACAUGAAUGAAGGUACACAUAUCAGUUUCUGGGUUAGUUGAUGUAAUUGGGAUACGGAACCAGAACUCAUAGUUUAUUAGAUGGGUUGGAAUAGAUUUGAGAUCUGCUGGAAAGUGGGCACUAGGAAAGAUCACUGGUAGCAUGGGAAAUCGGUUGGGCUACUUGGAUUUGCCAGAGACUAUCACCAAGUUAGGUCAAUUCAUCAAUCUUUUGGAGAAAGGUUUGGGUAAUAGCAUAGUUAGGUAACAAAGCAUCAAAAAUUAGCAAGAAAGAAGACUGUCUUAGAAGCACUAGACAUCCUAAUGAAUGAAAAAGAGUUUCCUUGACUUUGAUAAUUACUAAUAUGGAAUUGGAAAAUAAUACGAUGAUUUCUUUCUCCUUGCAAAUUACUUACCGUUCCCAUUCCCAAUUGUCCCAUAAUCUAACUUAUGAGCAUAUACUCUUCUAUCUACAGACCUGACUUAAGCAUUCUCCAGGAUACGUUUUUUAGUUUCCAAAACUCAAAGUACCAGAGUCUUCAGCUAAAUUCUUUACUCGACAAUGAAACAUACAUGCUAAGUUCUCCCGUUCAUACUAGUUUGAAACUUGACAUUGGAAAUGCAGCAAGCAAACAGGUUUAGGCCCGUGCAACUACGUAUUCAAUAUACUUUUACCAAGAUGUAGGGCAAGUACUAGAUUGACAUCAAUAUCUUUUUCAUGCUGCUACAUUUUUCUAAUAAGGUUUGUGUGGGUGUACUCCGCUGCUUUCUCAUAACUUGUUUGUAGACAAUGAGGGGUUACAACAUAAAAGAACGGUCGAGAGAGAGAGAGAGCAACCACUGCAUACCCCAGCUCGCAUUUGGUUUAACCCACCAUUGGCAUGAACUAGCAAGUAGCCCCUCGAUUGAGAAGGAGCUGAAAAAUAUCAAAUUGAAUAAAAUGUUAGUGGAUCACAUGAAGUAAAGCAGGAAAAAAAUACAGUACAAAAACCAAAAGAUCGACAUAAUCCUAUCGUGCUCCCUUACGCAGAAAAGAUGAACUGGGAGCGACACAGGGCACAAAAUUACGAUUUGCCGGAGGCUUCCACAACUUCGCGAACCAAGAAUCUAACAUCGUGAUGCCCACCUGCAAAGUAUAGAGAGAGUGAAACCAAUUAGAGGAACCAAAAACACCUUCUUGACCAUAAAUGACCCAUUAUACACCAAAAAACGAAAACUCAAAAAGGGAUACAAGAGCAUAACAAUUUGCCAAAUGCAACAACAACAACAACAGCUGUAACCCAUCAAUAACUAAAGCAACAUUCCGUGACAUGUAGUACAAGAUUACCUUCUGAGUGGAAAUCCGAAGCUUGGCGAGUUGGGGAGGCGCGAUUUCCUGGGUCCAGCCGAGCUCGUUAGCCUUUCGCCGGUAUCCAAUCUCACGUUGCUAAACAUCACCACCACCACCACAAAAUCGGGUCAUAUCAUAGAUGUGGGCAAAGGAUCAUAAAUCCAAGUCCUAAAAAUUGGAUCUUUUUCCGCUUUUGCGUAUCAAAAUAUUCAGUCAUUGAUUAAAGAAUACAUAAAUAUACGCCUACAUAACCGGUGUAGGCGGCCAAAUGUCACAGAACAGAAUCAAGAAAUCGUCACCUAAUCUCCUUUCAAGAAUCAAGAAAGCCAGAAAUGUGGGAAUGUUUAGGUUUGGAGCAACGUAAAGAAGCUUCCUUUGAGGAGGGGAAACCAAAAGAAAAAGAAUAGAGGAGGAGGAGAUGCCUUGGGGAGCUUGAAGGCGUCGGGGACGGCGGCGGAGGGGAGGAGGAACACGUGGACGGCCACCAGCGCACCGACAGCGACAGCUCCGAUGGCGCACGUUAGCGCCCACCGCAGCGUCGAGAUGCCGGCCGGCGUCGACCUGCGCCGCUGCAUCCUCUCCCUUUCACGCGCUUUGUCUCUACGCCACCGACUAUCUGUAAAGCGAAAGGAAGGAGGCAGAGGAAGAAGCAAACGGAGGAAGGAAGCAGACCGCAGGAAAGCAACGAGGAGAAUGAAUGUGAAUGAAUGGGAGAGUGUGAAUGGGAGGUGACAAGAAAGGCUUUCCAACUGUCCCCGUUCAAUGGCAGCACCGCUACACUUCUCUUCCCACAGUGCCCCUCCACAGACACAUUCUUGUUCCCAUAGUAGCCUAGUACUGUUCGCCAAGAUCGCCACCUUCAACGCAGUCAGAAGAAUACGAAGGCAUCAUUUCCUUCCACAGAAUUCCGAAGCUUUAAAUUCCACAUUUAUUGUAUAUAUAUUAGCCAUCAAAACGGCUCUGCAAUUUCCUUCUAUUUCUUUUCUAUCUUUGCGUUCACUUUUUCCCUUUGUUUGGUCUUUCUUUCUCCUGCAAUGAUAUCAUUACACUGUCUUCUUAAUAAUUGCAUUCCUAUGUACACUUGCAUUGUCUAGAAGUAAUCUUAAAUUCCUUGAAACGUGAUCACUGAAAAGAGUUCUCUGCAGCACCACAAGUCUAAUUCUUCUCCAUUCUUAAUGUCUCUUUGUCCCCUUCUUUUCCCUCGGUCAUUUACUUUGGCUUUCUUUAUGUACAGAGUAUGAGAAAGCGUGCUCUUCUAUAGAAGAGAUGGACGAGAAUGGCCAGACGUUGAGGUAGAUCUAAGCAUAAAGGACAACAUCAAAGCAUUUAGCGUUGGUUUAACUGAUUAAACUAAUUAAGAAAGAUUUUGAGGGACAUUAAUAGAAGAUCUCCUGGUAAUCCGGCUGAUAACAUUUGAUCUGCUUCCUUGUUAUCUGUAAUGUUCGAUUGGUGCAUGUGGCCUUCGUGUGCAAGCAGCAUCCUCAUCUCUUGAAAUGGAAAUUAGCUCAACAGGUUAGCUCUUCUUCUUGCUCCUGGGCAAGUUUUGACUACUGUAAGUUGGUGUAUACACUGAGAUGUGUGGUUCUAAGUGCAGAAUAGAAUAAGACUACUCUGCCAUGAAUAGAUAGAUCAUAGAGAGUAGACUUAGGUAGACUGAGCUAUCAUGGCCACAUUCAUUCAAUUCGGUCACAAAUGGUCAAGAAUCUAUGACCUACAGCUAGCAAAUGCUGACUUCUUCAUCCUUUGCAUGUCCUUCUCAGUCCAAGGUUUGCUCAAAUUUCUUCCGGAAAUUAAUGCUCCAUUCCAGGGUGACAAUGAGCAAAGUGCUGCCUUUUCCUCUUUGCUUGUUUUCUCCGAGGAAUUUUGCUGUGGUUACUGAAGAACAAAUAUAUUUUGGUCUUACUUUACAAGCAGAAAGGUGAGAAUUACAUCUGUUUUGAUCGAUUUACGAUGGCCAUUCUAACACUAAUGCUUGUUCAAGGUGUACUUGUAAGAUCAAGAGUGUUUUGGUGGAAUUUAUUUUGGUCCCAUUUAACUGGUUGUUGCAAGUGUCCAUCAGUACCUCAUCUUCAAGAAUUAUAGAUGUGUCUUUUCUCUGCCACGAUUGUAGUUAUAACUGGUUAUGUCGAGAACUUUCUCACACGUAAAACUCGUCUAUCAUCCUCGUCAUUGUCACAGCACGUAUCAUCAUCCAUCUCACCACAACUUAAAGCUGUAAUCUACCUUUAGAUGCAGCUCAAGGGAUCCAUUAAAAGAGAGAGAAAAGAAGGUAAUAAUGGGAUGUUAUUCCUUGCAUUCUCCUGCGCCACUCUCGUGACGUCCCAUUCCAAGUUGCACAAGCGAUUGCCCUCUUCAUGUGACACGGGCAAUUAAACAGAGAGAGAGAGAGAGAGAGAGGAGCAGAGGUCAUGGGAGAACAGCUGUGUCUCAUGCUGCUGCUUCCGCUACUGUGCUGUGCCCAACUGAGGGUCCUCAGCACCGUCCGAGAUUUCCAUCGUAUUUGUCGCUUUGUACCUCUCUCUCUCUCUCUCUCCCCAUGACGGGAUACCGAGGGAAAGAGACGGGAGUGGCUCAGCUUUUUGUUCUCAGAAGAGAACACGAAGUCUCAGCUUUUUGUACUCGGAAGAGAACACGUAGUCAACCUCACUCUUGCUGUAACCAACCUGCGACGUUCCAUCUGAAAUUAUCAUUGUCUAAAUCUUUCUAAUUGAUCUAAUGGCAAUGAGACAUGGAAAAUGAGCCACAAAUUCUCAAAGUUUAUCCUCACCAAAUACUCUAUGAUUUUAUUCUCUUUAUCUUGGAAGACCAAAGAUGAUAUAGCCGACACUGAACAGUUUUAACAUCACAGAUCGUUACUGUUCAUGUUCUGACCUAAAUCUAUGUAAAUGCGAUCAUCAUCAUCAUGUAGGUGUGACAAUUAAUGAAGCCUUUUGAUGUGGCACACCACCAACACACGGCGGGAUGAGACCCACCGCAGGUUUGUCGAUGAAACAGCUACGUGAAAUCCAAGAAUAAGAUAUUCUACAGCUCACUUAGAUUGGCCUCCCUGCAAUCAACCUAUUCGACAUAAACUAAGUUCAGCGCUGUAAAGGGUAAGAACAAUGGAACCUGUGUUUUCUUGUCUCAUCACGUCCUCGUUCGAUGGGUGGGUGCAUGCACGCACACAUGCGGUGCAUUCAGUCUCCGAUACAGGAAAUCUCCGAGCCUUCAUUGCUGCUGGAGGUAUCGGUGGGCUGCACACAGUUUUUUCGGAGUUUGUCUGACAACAAGAGAGCAAGAAAUUAUUUCUUGAACCUUACAAGGAAAAAAAGGUUACAAAAUCCUUUCUUUUGAAAAUGUUCUUCGAACAGACAAAAAAUAUAUAUCACUGCAUCAUUUUUAUUUUUCCCAUAUCUCUUAAAUUAAUAUUUUACUCUUCUGGUGAAGACCCCCUCAAUAGGAAAUCUGAGAGAUGCAGUUGAAACAUAAAUAUGAGAACAUGGUGGGCCUCAUUUGACACUAAAUUUGACUUCUCCUGAUGAAAGGCCCAUUACAGGCCCACCACCAUCCUUGAUAGUCUUCUUGUGGAUCAUCUCAGUGGCUCUGCUGCAUGGAAAACCCUUUCUUUGUUUUGUAGCUUGCUCUGAUUUCAACCUCAGUCAGUGUUCUUCCACACAGACCUUGAAGCUGCUUAGCCAGGUUCUGAUGCAUCACCUAUACCAAUAUUCGAUGUGGCUUAGAUGUAUAGAACUUGUGCUUCAUCCUAAUUUCUGAAACUAUAUAUGUAUUCGUGAAAAAUGUUGAUAUGCCAAUCAUCUUCUUGCAAAUUUUCUUAUAUUCUGUGUUAUCUUUUAUAUGACACAUUUAAACUUAGUCGCACAUCUGAAUUGGCUAAAGACUGGAUUAGGUGUACUAUCAUUAAGGUUCAGACUUAAAUAUUUUGAUUUAUUACGAUACAACUUGAUUGGGUAAUUAAUCCAUCUGAAUAUCGUACAUCUAUAAAAUUCUUAUAGAUAGACUUAAAUAUUUUUAUUAUAUUUAAAAUUAAAAUUAUUAACUUACUAAAUAAAAUAAUAGAAUUUAUAUUGUAUAUAUUGUUUUUGACACCUAUACAUAGUUAUAGUCUCUAGCCAAAAGAAUAUACAAACAUAACCUGUCCAAAAUUUAUAUACACAAAAUGCUCAUAGGUCAUCGUUCGUAUCCAUGCUAUCAUAGGCUUGUACGUGCUCACUUCCCUACCCAAUCACUUAUGUGAGUUACUAGUAUCUAAAAUAAGAUUUAUAGUGAAAAGUUACUCAAAAAUUAUAAACAUUUAUAGUUUUAUUUAGAUGAGCAUGUAUCAUGUCAUUUAUAUAAUAUUUCAAAAUCAUUAGUAUAAGACAUUUAAUGAUAGAUAUCUCAUCCUAUAAGUUCUUUAGUAAGCAUAGUUUUGCAACAUAGUAUAUGUGCAAUAAGGAAAUAAAAUUAUACAUUGGAAUAAUUCAAAUGCUUAUAUGAACACCCAUACCCUACAUCAUAGAAAACACAUACACUCUCGUAUCGCACAUCAUCAUAUAUGCAUGCAUACAAGAUAUUUUUAUUAUAAUUUAUUUUUUUUUAUAUUUAUAAAAUAUAUACAUUCCCAUUUAACUUAUGACUAGCUCAUGACAAUCAUAUUAGUUCAAACAUACUUUCCAAAAUAUCUUAUGCAUACAAUAAUUUAUACGAUCAUUAUUUUACAUUAUAUAUGCUCAUAAAUUCUAUCUCUAACUACUUUUGAUCUAUAUAAAACUUUAUGAGACUUUUUUUUUCUAUUGUUUGUCAUCUCACAAUUCUUAUGGUUUAAUGUCAGUCAUUUCAAUAUUGAUGAAAAUUAUCUGUGCAUUGAAUACAUGUGUAUUGUCAUACAUGCGAGGAAUGAAGUUGUUUACCAUCUCACAAUUUCAUUUGAGGACAAAAUGAAGUUGAAUAUAUGUGCGUUGUCAUUACAUGCGAGAAAAUCAUUAUUUGAGUUGAAUUUUUUUUUUAAUUUUUAUUGUUUCGGAAAAUGAAACUGUAUGCUAAACACAUACCUUUCUCCCACUCUCAAGACUUUUCCUCCACAUAAAUAAUACAAACUGCUGGACAUUUUUAUAAAUUUUGAUGAAUAAAGGGGGAUUAUAAGCCAAACAUUAAAUAUUAUUUACAUGUAUAUAAUAUACAAAAAUUAAGAGAAGAGAGGGAAAUGGGUUGAAUCUUUUGGAAAGAGAGACAAGAAUUUCAAAAAUCAUAAUAAAACAAUAAUCAAAGACAUAUCAAAGAUUAAUAUGGUCCAACAAAUUUCUACUUGAGAAAAUAAAAUUCUAUGAGAUGUAAGAUCAAUUAUAAGGUCUUGAGUUAUCUCCACUCAAGUAUAAUUUUUUUAUAUAUAUACCUUGUCAUAUAUUCUCAAAGAAUUUAUACAUUUUCUCACACUCUCCUUAGAAACCCUAGAGAGUAACAUCUUUAAAUACCAUAAAAAGAAACUCAUGAGUACCAAAAAUAUUUCUUAUAUUUUGUUCUUCGUGUAUCAAAAUCUAAAGAUACAUAAAAUAUUUAUAGAAGAAUUAAAUCCUAAUUACUCGAGUUUCCUUCAUUUACGAAAUCUCUUUCUUAUACUUAGAUUCCUUAUCCCAUGGGACACUAGCUCCAGAAAUCUCAAAUACUUGUUAAUUAUAAUUAUCUCUUCUUCGGUAACUAUUCUAUCUAUUCCGUACCUCCUAAAAAGAAAAUAUUUUUACUUCAUGCUCCUUUCGAUCUUUGUCGUUUAUUUUUAUUGAAUCUCUAACCACCCAGUCUUUUGGGCUCUAAUACCAUUUAUUAGAGAGGGAGAGCAGAAUUUCAAAAACUAAAAGAAAACUUAAAGAUCAAUAAUCAAAAGUAUACUGAAAAGUUAAUAUAAGAUUAACAUGGUUCGAUAAAUCUUUCCCUAUAUCCAUAUAGAAAAUUAAAAUUUUCACCAUGGGAGAUCAAUUAUAAAGCCUUGAGUUAUUCUCACUUAAGCACAAAUUUUCUUGCACAUCCUCUCACAAAAACCCUCAAAGAAUUUAUACAUUUUCUUUCACCCUCUUUAGAAACCCCAAAGGACAACCUCUCUAAAUACCGUAAAGAGAAACUUAUGAGUAUCAAAAGUAUUCUUCACAUUUGUUUUCUCCACACUAAAACCCAGAGAUAUAUCAGAUAUUUAUAAAAGAAUCAAACCAUAAUUAUCAAUAUUAUUUUUUCUUUCAUGAGAACUUCCUCUUAUAUUAGGAUUCUUUAUUCCACUAGGAUACUAGCUCUAGAAAUUCUAAAAUACUUGUCAAUCUCAAUAGAAUCAAAAUAAAAGUAACCCUAUAAUGUCCCUCAUUUUCCUUUUCAGCUAAAAAAAUCUAAAAUACUUGUCAAUUCUAAUAAAAUCAUACAUCAAAAUCAUAUAACCCUACAAGGUCCCUCACUUCCCUCUCAAGUAUAAGAGCAUAGCCAAUUCUUAUCCACCUCUCUUUCCCCUCUAAAUCAUUCUUCCGUUUCUGUUAAAAUAUUAAAUUAAAAUUUAUAAUUAAAUAAAAAAAUAUUUGAAAUUAAUUGAAUUAGAAAAUAUAAUUUUAAUAAAAUUCAACAUCUUGAUUUGGCCUUUACGAGAUAAUAUAAUGCAAUGCAUUGAGUAUUUAAGAGAGAAAGACAUACUAGAAAAACCUAAGAUAUAUGGGGCUUGAAAGAUUGAUAAAUUAUAUGUGAUUGAUAUGAAUAAGUAAUUUUCAGUAUCUCUUAUUCCGCCCCACCCAAUAUUUAUUCUCAAUGCCUUAUUGAAACCAUUAUAUGUGAUUAAUAUGAAUAAAUAAUUUUUAAUAUAUCUUUUUUUUUUUUCCUCCUCCUAUCAUUCAUUUUCUAUGCUUUAUUGAAGCCCACCAUUUUUCUAAAAGAGAUUAAAACAAAAUUAGCUAGAUAUAUGAUGAUAAUUUAUAAUUAACUGAAUAAAGAUGGAUCAUACCAUAAUUGACAUGCAUGAGUAAACUAAUAUAAACGAGUGAACCACUACAUAAUGUUAAAAAUAAUAUAGAGAAGAUUUUAGCUUUUAAAAAUAAAAAAAAAUAUAAUCAAUCCACAAAAUAUUAUAAAUAUUAAUAUGCAUAAUAAAAAUGAUAGAUUAAAAGAAUAAUCUUAGAACAAAUUUGACCUAUAAAUUAAUAGCAUAAGCUUUUUGAGUCGUACUAAUACUCAAUCUAUUGCAUGUUAACCUUAACUAGUCCUACUAGUUGUAGGACCACACAACUUAGUCCAACAAUCCCACCUCUUCUUCUUCUUCUUGUAUUUUUCUUCUUUGCCUUUCUUCUUGUACUUAUCGUCUUUAUCAUUCUCAUUCUUCUUCUUGUACUUUUUUUCCUUGCCUUUAUCGUUCUUGGUGUCCUUUGAGGGCACGAAGUCAAAGUCAGAGGAUUUCCCAGUUGAAGAAUCGUCAGCGGAAACAAUUGCGGACAAAUAGCCGGAGAUAGAAGACCUCCUUAAUGAAGAAGCAUCAACCAAAGCAACUCCAGAUGAGUGGUCGGAGGCAAAAGACUUCCCUAUUGAAGAGGCGUCAACGGAAGUAACAGCGGAAGUGAAGUCUGAGGCAAAAGAUUCCCCUAUUGAAGAGGUGUUAGCAGAAGCACCCAUGGUUGAUGCAGAAGAAGAUGCCAAGAGAUGAGACAAUCUCUCGGUGAGGCAAUAGGGGCAUACCCCUUCAGCUUGUCUAUGCGUCAGAUGCUUACUGCACCGGUGCUCCAUGUCCAACCUACGUAUCUGCAAAGCUUUUAGCCACGACUUUAUAAAUAUCUUAAUCAGAUCCUCUCCUUUAGCAAAUCUUAUAGAUAUGGUUGACACCUAUGGAGAGAGAGGAGAAGAACAAUAUGAGACAAACUCAUAGUAUUCUUCUUUGUAUUUGGUCUUAUUUUUAUCUGGUCCAUGACUUGGUCAUUAGUGUGCCCAUUAAUUGCCAUUCAUGCAAAGGAUACCGCUACUCAUACGAUAAAGGGAGCUUUUCCUGUGUGUAUCCGAUACAUGCACCGUUCUAUCUCAAAGCGUGUUACGUGAGGUCAUAUGUUAUUCUUGUUAAGAUGAUCAAGUGAUAGAAUCUUCCUUCAACUUAUCCUCGUUCACAUCAAUCCUCCCAUGAGAAUUGGUUAGGUGUUAGAAUCCAAUUAUUCUAGGGCAAGUAUGAGGUAAAAAGCUUAUGCUAGAUUAAGUAUAUAGAUUACUGAAAAUAUUUUUAUAAAAGUAAAAUUUAAUUAAAAAAAUAUUUUAUAUUACUACCCUCAUAAAAAAAAUAUCCUUUGGGAUGAUGCUCUCUCGAAGGGACCAUUGAGAUAUUUUUAAGGCUCUAUAAAUAGAUAUCUAAACUAAGAUUUUUUCUCUUAUUCUUGCCCUUUUAAUUAAUGUGUAAUAUAAUAGUCCACGAUUGCCCCCGAUGCAUCAAGCAACUAUCAAAUGUUCUUGCUUUCUCUCUUCCCAUCCACCUCUCUCUAUCUUCUUGAUGAAAUUGAGAACAAAUCUCCAAACAAACGAAACCGUAGCUUGAUCCUUGAAAAUUUAAAAAGAAAUUAGAAAAUAAUAUUGAAAUUUAUUUUCGGAGAAUAUACUCGAAAACCUUACUAUUAAUUAGUGUAUAGAGGUUUAUAGACCAAAAGGCUUCAAAUUAGAUUGAAUUUAUUAAUCAUCUUGAUUGAAGCUCCUCCUAUUCUAGUGUGAGAAUACUGACUUUGUCAUACAAAAUAGGAAAAUUAGAAUAUUCCCAAAUAAAAAAUUCUUCGACUUCACUCUUUUCAAAUGACCAAUGCAUUCUUCCUUUUUGUGAAUAAUAUAAUAUCUCGAAUUCUUGCACACUACGAGAAUUAGAAAUGUAACCAACAACUUAUUCUCCUAACAAACUUGCAAUAAAAAAAAUAAAUCGAAAAAAAUAAAAUACAUCUCAUAUACUUUUAUUUGGCUAUCUCAGGCAUAUCGAGCAAUCAUAUGAUUCAUAUGUUGAGGAUAGUGACGAAAAUAACAGUUGAAAACAUCAUGAAAAAAGAAGUUAUUAUGAGGUACUUGACACCUCGAUUGACUAAUGGUAUGUCGAUGAGGGCCACAUAGUAAAUGUCAUAAUAGAGGAUCAAGAGGGUUGCGAAGGUGAACGCAACGUACUUGCACAUAUAAUAUAAAGGUCAGUUGUGUAUUUGCUACAAUAGUGGGAUUUGAGGCCUCAAUGACUCCAAAGGUACUCCUUUGUCGAGUGAUAAGGGGAGGAGAUGAAAGAAGAGAAAGCAACAACACCAGCUCGAUAAGUUGUUGCUGCAUUGAAUCAAAUGGUGGUUUGGUUUAUGAUGAUGAUGAAGGCAAUUAAUUGGAUGUUGAUAUUUGGACUAUUGUGAGCCAUUGGUUCCUUAUUUAUCUAUUGUCAAAUACUACACUAACCCUCUUAAAAAUUUAUCAUGAAAAUAAAAAUAGUAUACCACAGUCUGCAUAAAUUGAAAAUAAGUAAAAAUUAAAAUAUAAAAUAAAAUAAAAUAAAUAAAAUAAAAUAAUUUUUUUUGCUUGGCUGCGGACUUCUUAUGUUAUUGGGACAAUGCUUGAGAAAGCUUACUGGAUGGUGGCGGACUAGUGUAAUCAAUAUAGUGGGCUAUCCACAUAUGUUCAUGCACAGGAAGGAGGGUUCCAAGGAGAAUAAGUUGUUGGUUGCAUUGCUAAAUUUUUUUGAUGGAAAAUUGAGGGUGGAUUAUGGUGUGCAUGAACAUGAGUGACUAUAUUAUCGAGAAGAAAGAAUUCUUUACUUAAAUUAUUGUGUAUUUCUUGUGCAUUGGCCAUUUGAGAAGAGUGUAGUCGAAGAACUUUUUAUUUGCCCUAACACUCCAUCCUCACAAGAGAAUCCUUCUUCUCAUUCUCUAAGAAUAUGUGGGGAAGCCUACUAUACCAAUUACGUUGGUCCCUUACCAGUAAGCAAUUGCCCUUAUAAAUACCACUCUGAUUUUUUUAGUUCCUUCCUCUUUCUUCGUGGCUCUUUGCAUGUAGUUCUAAGUAGGAAGGAGACGUCAUAGUGGAGAAGUCAGAGGUAGAAGACUACAUUAUUGAAAAGGUGUCGACAAGAACUAUAGACAAUAGAGGUAGAAAAUUUCUCUAUUGAAGCGAUGUCAACAAAACCAAUAGUGGAAGAGAAGUCAGUGGAAAAAGACUUACCUAUCAUAAAGGUGCCGAUAGAAGCAAUCAUGGUUGAUGUAGGAAAAUAUAUUAAGAGACGAAACAGCCUCUUGGUGAGGUGAAAAGGGCACCCCUCUGCAGUUGCCUCUCGCACCUACAUUCCAUGUCUACAAAGAUUGCAACUAUUGUUAACCUUAUAGUUUCCCAACUAGAUCAUCUCCUUCAACAAAUCUUAUAGAUCAUAUAGAUAUGCGUGAACCCUAGGAAAGAGGUGGAAAAACAUGAUAUGAGCUCAUAAUAUUACUCUUUCUACUUGGUUUUCUUUCUAUCGAGUGUAUGAUUGGGUUAGCAAUGCGUCAAAUGAUUGUCAUGCAUGCAAAGUGAUAGGAGGCGUGCGGUCGGGUACUUACUGGACUGGCAUGUGGCCGUGGUAACUGACCAAGACAAGAAGGCCAUUCUUUGUCGAGCUAGAUAUAAGUCCAAAAGGAGAGGGUUUGGACGGUUCCUUCUUAUGAUUCAUGUGAAUAAGAGUCCAAAAGACGUGAUUAUAGAUUGUUCCUCAAAGAAUAUUCUAAUUUCUUUUUUCUGUACUAGACCAACUUCAGGAGCAAGAGCUCAAGAGAGAUGAUUAUAGGUUAUUCCGCAAGGAAUAUUCUAGGGCGCUCCCAUUUCCUCUUUUUUGUACUAGGUAUAAAAGUCACUUUAGGUUCACAGAUCGAGGUAAUGGUGACCAUCCUUACCUUUUGCGCUAUUCAUCACCUCCAUUAACUUAACUAUUAAAGGGAUAAGAAAAUCUACCUCUGACCUUAGUCUUUCUAUAGGAUAUUUUGGAACUGGUUGGCCUCAACCUUAGGAUCUUAGAGAACCCAGAAAACCCCUCAAUGAUUUUCUUUCCUUGUGCACAUGAAUUCGAAUCACAUCGGGCUAACACGGAUCUAACCGACUUCAUUACUAACACAGAGGAAAUUACUACUCAAAAUAAUAUGAGCUUUUCCUGUAUGUCUGAUUCAUGCAAUACUCCAUAUCAAGUGUAUCUUAUAAGAUUGUAUGUUGUCGUUGAGAGGAUCACAUGAUGUGAAACCAUCCUUUAACAUAUCCUCGAUCAUAUCAUUCCGCCCAUGUAUUGAGUAAAAUCUUAUCCCAAAUUAGACAUAUAGAAUUAUUUUAAAAAAAUUUAAAAUUUUAUAAAAAAUAUUUUAGUAUAGUUAUGCUAACAACCCUCGUGAAAGGAUAUAUACCUUAGGACAUUACCAUUUCAAAGUGACAUAUGAGGCACGUUUUAGGCUUUAUAAAUAGAAUCCUAAAUAAUAUUAAUUCAUUACUUUAAAUAUCAAUGAAUAAAUUAAUAUUUUUAUUUUAUUUUAUAUUUAUUAUACUAUUUAAAUUUUAUUUUAUUAUUCAAUUUUUAAUUAAGUCACUCUCGGAUCAUAUUCGUAUGAGAAAAAAUAUGUAUCAAUUGAAUCUAUAACGAAUCCCACGUGAGUAUUUGAAUAACAUUUACACACUAUCGAGUUAUCUAUAAAUUUUAUCUUUGAAAAUAUUAUUUUAAUAUUCAUCAAUUUUCUUAAUCAAAAUUUAUGUUUCUAAAUUUUUUCACAAUAUAUUAAGGUGAAAUCUCCAAGCCUAUAAUGAAGAAUAUUUUUUGAAAUAAUUAUUUUCUUAACCUUUUUGCAUUAUGAUAUCAUAUUCCUUAAAGACCAAGGAAGACCAUACAAUUGGAGUGAUGUAUCCUCACAAAAUUGAUCCUAGUUCAUCCCCUCAUUUCAAAGCAGGAGAAUUUAUAUUAAUUAAUCGCUAGGGGUGGGGGAACAAAAACAGGAAGCCGAUUGUUCCCUAUAAAUACCACUUGAUCUGACUCCGGGUAGCCCACCACCGAGCAAGCUUUCCCUGUAUACCUACCUUCGUAUGAAGAAGCUCAUUUUGGUGUUCUUAGUUUCUAGUGCCACUCUUAAAGAAUUUGCUUCGAGUUGUGUGGUGAACCUCUAACUUUGAAGCCCACACGGCAUUCUUUGCAUUUCAAUAUUUAUUCGUGUUCUGGUUUCUUUUCAAGUGUGAGUCGAUGCUAAUUUUAUCUUAGGAAAUAUAUGCAAUCAGCUUUUUCGAUUUUCUCUAUUUCACAUGAUAUAUGAAUUUUUUAAUAUAUCAUUGACACCGUUUUCCUUAUUUCUUUGUUUUCUUAAUCUUAUCGUAGUUCUUGUGUGGAAAUCUAUUUAUUUUUUGACUCAAUAUUUAUUUCUUUAUUUCUUUUGUGACCCAAAUGUUGAGUUCAUGCAUUCAUUAUAACAUCAAUAUUAAUAUCAUUUUAAUAUUUUUAUUUUAAAAUUAAUUAUCAUAUAUAUAUUAAUCUUUUUAUUAAUUAAUUAUCAUAUAUUCAGUAGUAGUUUUAAUCUUUUUAUUAUUAUUUUUAUCUCGAGCUGCAAAAUUGUCUUUCCUCUUUAAAACAAAGUAGAGCACAGUUACAUGGACAGAAACAUUUGCGACGUAAAAGGUUAUAAUUCUCGAGGAUGUUUCGUGUUGCGAAAGAUAUAUCACUUCAUGAUGUAAACGGAGACCGUCAACAUUUUUAAUCAGCAAAGAAUAAAUUUCAAAACGGACAUCAAAUCAGUCCUAUCUUCUUCUUCUUUGAUUAUAUUAUUUCAAGCAAUUUCUGAAGGCGAACACCAAAAUGACUGAACCUUUAACACCACAACGUGAUGAUGACGAUACUGUGUGCCAAAAGAUCAAUAGAGGAUGAUAUCCUAUCCUAUGUUUUUGUGAUAUCAUCAUUGUAAAGAUGGUGAGGGGCUUUAAAUAUACAACACCGACACAGAAACACGACACAGGCAGACAGACGGGACCGAGACUCGAUGGGAGGUUGGGUGCGUCCCAACACUUUAUUACCUGAACAAAACGGAGCAGUAGCAGAUGCAUCAAGCGACUGCUAUGUUGAGGACAUACCCCAACGUUGCAGUAGCCGACGCCACAACGACAGUAGGAAACAUGAGGUACCUUACAGUUCGGUUGACUGAUGGCGAGUCCCUGAGUCCGAUGUUACGGACAAGGAGAUAGACGGCGUCGAAGAUGGAGGUGAUCCACAUGGCGAAAUCAUACAUCUUUGAGGGCAGCUGCUGCAUUCGGGGGGGUCCUCCUGCUCCUGCUGCAGAUCUCGGGCCCAGGGUCUUGUUGGCGACAGAAAGACUGAAUUGGAGAACAAGAGGGACUCCGGUCUGGACCAAGUUGCCAUGGGGAGGAGGAAUGGACGAGGCCGAGAGGUAGGGGAGGAGGCAGUGGCAACAUUUCAUUUAGAUUAGCUGUGGCGGGUGGCACUGCAUGCGUGUGCGUGUGCGUGUGCGUGUGCGUGUGCGUGUGCGUGUGCGUGGCGACAGAAAGAAAACAUUUCUUUGCUUUCUUAAUCUUAUCGUAGUUCUUGUGUGAAAAUCUGUUUAUUUUUUUAUUUCUUUUGCGACCCAAAUGUUGAGUUCAUGCAUGCAUUAUAACAUCAAUAUUAAUAACAUUAUAUCAUUUAAUAUUUUUAUUAUAUAUAUAUAUAUAAUUAAGAGGCUUGCAUCAUCGUUCUAUCAACAAACGAUAAUGCCUCAUCAUGUUAGUACAACUCCAUUGUUGUACCGACACAACGAGGAAUCAUCAUUUAUUGAUGUGAUGAUAUGUCACGUCAACUUAAGGUCGGAAUGACCUCGUCAUGGACGACAGGUUCCAUCAUUCACCCAGUUAAUCUGUCGCCUACGCCACGGAUGACCACGAUGUGGCAUAGGCGAUGGAUUAACUGGGUGAGUAUUGGAGCCUCUCAUCCAUGAAGGGAUUGCUCUGACCAUAAGUUGAAUGUGACGUACCAUCACAUCAACAAACAAUGAUUUCCCAUCAUGCUGAUACAAUUCCAUCUGUCGUUUGUCGAUGGAUUUGUAACACCAUGAUGGGGCAUCAUUGUUUGUUGAUGGAUCGUUGAUGUGAGCCCCAUAAACCCAAACACCCCACCAUAAUAGUCAUUUCGCACCUCAAGCAUGUAGGAGCACCCACCACAUCUAAUCUAAAGCCUUACCCGUUUAGGAUAUCUCAUCAUAGCGACAUAACAAGGUCAUAUGUGGCGCAAGCGAUGGAUUAACUAGUUGAGUGGUGGAGCCUCUCAUCCAUGAAGUAGUCGCUUUGACCGAAGCACUUGCAGUUCAAAGUUGAUUAGGAUGGAAUACUUGAUUCUUAAGGCUCGAAGAACCCUUAAGUUCACCGGGAUAAACACCUCCGAAGGGGGAGGUCGAGACCUCGCCAGCCUUAAGCUAUAUGAGAAUAGGACUUUGGUCUCUUUAGCCUUCCAUUGACCAAAAGAUCGCGAACUUAUACGCCGUGGUGGGAGGAUAGGAGACAUGUUGUCGGGUAAAGACACAUGACUAUACGUUGCAGUCGAGCCAGCCCAAGAGAGGAAAGCCCACUCAUCAAGGUGGAUAUAAGUCCCGAAGAAGGCAGUUUGGGGUUGGCACACCCACACGCAUGAGGAAAGCCCCAUCAUGCAAGUUGACGUCAACACCUGCGCGCCGGUUCAACUCGAAACCUCACCUGCCAUCAGUGAUGUCAACAUCCACACCCCCAGUUCAAAAUGGCUGCCACUGCCUCCUCCACCUCACGGCAGCUUGGUCGAGACCGGGGUCCCUCUUAUCCUCGAACUCGGUCUAUCGGCCACUCCUCCUCCUCCUCACGGCAGCUCGGUCGAGACGGGAGUCCCUUUUGUCCUCCAACUGAGCCUUUCGGCCGCCACCAAGACCCUGGGCCCGAGAUCUGCAGCAGGAUCAGGAGGACCCCUCAAGCAACAACUGGGCUUCAAGUUGUAUGAUUCCGCCAUGUAGAUCACCUUCAUCUUCGAUGCCGUCCUGGUGCUUUAUGUCCUUGUCCGUUACAUCGGACUCAUGGACUCACCAUCAGUCAACCGAACUGCAAUGUACCUCAUGUUAGCUAGCUACUACUGCCUUUGUGGCAUUGGCUACUGCAACUUCAGGGUAUAUACUCAACAAAGCAGUCGCUAGAUGCAUCUUCUGUUACUUUGGGGAGUUGGAGGACAAAAGGGACCCCGGUCUCGACCAAGCUGUCAUGGGGAGGAGGGGGAGGAGUAUGUCCGAUAGACGGAGUUCGAGGAUAAGAGCGACCCCGGUCUCGACCGAGCCGCCGUGAGGUGGAAGAGACAGUGGCAGCAUUUGGUUGAGAUCAGGAUGCUGCUGCUGCGGGAGAUCGAUAUGGGGUGUGAAUGGGUCGAUAUUUGUUGCCAUUUUGAACUGGGUGUGCGGGUGUUGACGUCACUGAUGGCAGCUGAGGUGUAGCGUCGAACCGGCGCGCAGGUGUUGACGUCCGCUUCCAUGAUGGGGCUCGCAUCAUCGUUUGUUGAUGGAAGGAACGAUGUCAAUACGCUUGAUGCGAUGCGUAAUCCCAACAUAAAUUAAAUUGUCAUCCAUCGCUUCUACGCGAAAUUGCACCACUGUAAUUUUGCUUCCGCAACUUUAACAUAAGGUGCGGGGGCUGUUCGUGCAUUAGAUUACGUGAUGGGUUGGCUCCUAUUGCGAAUUAAUAUGUGGAAACAAAAGGCCCAAUAGCAUCAUUCUCAUAUAGCCCAAAUAAGAUAAAGGGUAAGUCUUUUAUCAUCAACAUUGUUGCACAGAACCGUUCGAUUUCGAUUCCGAAAUUAUCGAUGCUCGUUUCGCAAAAUCUUGGAAACCAAUCACAUAAGAUUAGUUCUAGAAUUGAAAUCAUAACCGACAGUUCUUUAGUUUCGGUUCCAAUUCUAGUUCAGAUGGUUAUGAUUCGAACCAUUAUUUAUUAUUAUUAUUUUUAAUUAAAAUUUUUAAAAAUAAUAUAUAUAUAUAUAUAUAUUUAUUUAUUUAUUUCUAAUGACAAUAGACUCUUUUAAUUCUUUCUUUCGUUCAAAAGAGACGUAAUUAAGGUUAUGAGAUUCGAUCACUCAUUAGAAAGGAAAAAAGGGAAACUUACAGAGGAUAAUAAGUUAGGUCUAUUUAAUCCAAUGGAAUCAUCAUGGCCUCGAGGGACUUAACCAAUCAUGAUGUUUGAUUAAAUCAUCAACAUCAUUACAAAAUGAGUCUAAUUCAAUGAUAUACCCUCGAGAGACUCGAUCAAGCAUACAACAUUCUUAUGUCACCGGUGACAUCUCUAUGUCGUAUGUAAGAUCUCGAAUCGUAAUAUAUGUGAGCCUCGAGGGACUCGACCAACUCAAUCAGUAAUCUCACAUGUGCGCAAUAGAAGAAUAGAAAAUAAAAUUUUAAAAUUUCUCAUAGAAAAAUAAGAUAACUGGAUUAAGCACGCUCGGUGGGGAAGUAUUUGCUGUCUUGGUGGUGCGCGCGGAGAAGUGUUUGUUGUGUUGGUGGUGCGCGCGGGGAAGUAUUUGUCGUCUUACAAAAGACAACAUUGCUUCCGGAAAUGCAAUGAAACAGCUAAUUUGACCGUUAAAAAAGUUAGAAUAGAUAAAGUUUGUAAGACAACAAACACUUCCCCGCACGAACCACCAAGACAACAAACACUUCCCCGCGCGCACUAAACCCGGAACACCGCCGUCCCCCCACCCCCAACACACCCCCAACACAAAACGCACAAGCAUGCAGUUGCCACCCGCCACAGCUAAUCUCAAUUAAAUGUUGCCACUGCCUCCUCCUCUACCGCUCGGCCUCGGCCAAUCCUCCUCGUGGCAGCUUGGUCCAGACGGGAGCCCCUCUUGUCCUCCAAUUCAGCGUUUCUGUCGCCACCAAGACCCCUGGACCCGAGAUCUGCAGCAGGAAGCAGGAGGACCCCUAUACCAAUUUAUCUACGCACAGGUGAGUUAUCGAACUCUUCGUGUUCCUGCUGGCACAAACAAUCUGGCAGAGGGUUCUCAUAGAAUGCUUCUUCGGACCGAAA
rnacentral:lncRNA from 1 species